CUGGUCGUAAAGGGAGCGUAGGCGGAUGAUUAAGUGGGAUGCGAAAUACCCGGGCUCCACUUGGGUGCUGCAUUCCAAACUGGUUAUCUAGAGCGCGGGAGAGGAGAGUGGGAUUCCUAGUGUAGCGGUGAAAUGCGUAGAGAUUAGGAAGAACACCAGUGGCGAAGGCGACUCUCUGGACUGUAACUGACGCUGAGGCUCGAAAGCGUGGGGAGCAA
rnacentral:rRNA from 1 species